rnacentral:rRNA from 1 species
UACGGAGGGUGCGAGCGUUGUCCGGAAUCAUUGGGCGUAAGGGCGCGUAGGUGGCCCGGUCAGUUCGUGGUGAAAGCGCGGGGCUCAACCCUGCGUCGGCCAUGAAUACUGCCGCGGCUGGAGCACUGUAGAGGCAGGCGGAAUUCCGGGUGUAGCGGUGGAAUGCGUAGAGAUCCGGAAGAACACCGGUGGCGAAGGCGGCCUGCUGGGCAGUUGCUGACACUGAGGCGCGACAGCGUGGGGAGCAAACGGG